UGAAAAUCACAAAUAGGCUCGCAUAUACCCAAUUUCCUUUGUUGACUCUGAAUCGACCACGAAGCUACCCAAUCUCCUCUUUUAUUCACUACAUCCAAAGCCUUCCCCUUUCUCUCUUGACGACAACGACAAUGACCCACAUGUCUUAAGUUGUCUUGAGAGAGAGAGAGAGAGAGGAAGUUUGCAGAUAUAAUUUUUAUCUCUUGGCAUAAUCCGUCUAAAACAAAAAUAAAAAUAUUUGGGGGAGCAAAAAAGCAACUAACUUUUUUCAAUCCAGCAUCCUCUUUUCUCUAUCUUUCUCAUCACCUGUUUUUCCAACCUCCACAUGUAAUUCACAUGCGAGUAUUGUAUACAGAGUCACCAUCUUUUUUUGUGAAUAUUUUGUGGGUGCGGUUUGGUAUAUGCAAUGGAUGCCGAUGAAGAUAAAGUGGGGUUGUGAUAAGAAGAGUUCUGUUGUGGUUUGGUGCAUAAACAUCCUUAUCUGGGUUCGGGUUUGUUUUUCUUCCUGGUGACAGUAUGGACUCGAGGCUCUACAAAGUUUGGAAGAAAAAUAAUUUCAUGAUUGGGCAUUCAACAUGAUAAGCGCAAGAGGCUCGACGUUUUUCACUCCUAAUCGUUGUCGUCGUCACCAUCAAAGUCGACCGGAGCAGGAACUGUAUUGGUCGUUGGCGUGAAACUAGCUGUAAGGUGUGGGAUUGUUGGAGAGAAAAGGGGAGGCUUGGGAUGUAGUGAAUAACAGAGGAGAUAGGGGUAGUAUCGUGGUCGAUUCGGAGUCCAUAAAGGAGAUUGGGUGUAAGUGGGUCUAUUUGUAAUUUUUAUAAAGUGUGUACGUGGUAUGCAAUUAUUGGCCUGCUGUAAAAAUA